rnacentral:misc_RNA from 1 species
UAAUAGAAUGUAAACCCAUUUCGUUGCCUUGAAAACGUAACGAAAGAAAACUAUACAACUUUCAACAACGGAUCUCUUGGCUCUCGCAUCGAUGAAGAACGCAGCGAAAUGCGAUAAGUAAUGUGAAUUGCAGAUUUUCAGUGAAUCAUCGAAUCUUUGAACGCACCUUGCGCCCCUUGGUAUUCCGAGGGGCAUGCCUGUUUGAGUGUCAUUAAAUCCUCAACCCCUCCGAUUCGUUUCGGUGGGGAUUGGACUUGGAGCGUGCUGGCGAAGGUCGGCUCCUCUUUAAAUGCUUCAGCGGAGAAAAUGCCUUUUGCGCCUCUGGCCGUUCAGCGUGAUAAUGAUGUUGCGCUGCGGUCGAGCUUAAGGUCCGCUUCCAAAGGUCCUCGGACAAAUAUACAUAUGACUUUUGACCUCAAAUCAGGUAGGACUACCCGCUGAACUUAAGCAUAUC